CCAAAGUGCAGCCAGAUGAGAGCAUUGAAUAAAAGGCUGGGUCGUCGCUCUCUGCAGUUCCCGGGGGUACAGGAGGGUCCGCGCGCACGUGCGACCGGGGUGGGAAGGCACGCGCAUGCGUGAACACCUCGGCAAGCCGCUCGUUGGCCCCGUCCCUGCCUCGUCCUUUCCUCCCAUCGCCCCAACCGCCUCCCCGCUGCAGGAGGACCCCACAGUCCGGUCACCUGGGUGUUCUCUCCCUCCCGAAAGGCCUGUGCCACCCGCUGCCGCAGAGGUGGAGACUGAGGUACAGAGAGGAUGAGGACUUGCCAAGGUCACUAGCUGGCCACUCUUUCCUUCUCUAAAUGUGGAUUUUGGAAAGUUGCUGGUAAUUAGCCAUGAGAAUACAGAAAUUAUUUAACUCUGCAUUGUCUAAAGUUCAGAUAAAAGGACCACCUACUUCCCAGGCCUGCUACCUGCCUUGUAGAUGCAUGGAAAUAUUGUAUUAGCCACCAUUUCCCACCCACGGAUCCCCAAAGGAUUGCAGGAAAUCGGUGAACUGUUCUUGCUGUAUACUCUAGUCAGCCAUAAAUUGGAACUUUCGUGCACUGUGAUGAUCAGAAUAAACAAACAGAAAGGGUAAUAAGGCGCACCAAAUAAUCACUGGUGACCUCAGCAAUUUUAUUAACAAAUUUAUUUCCCUAAUUGGGUAACGUAUCUUAGUGCUCGACUCAAGGGCAUUGUAAUAGGUUUCCACACUGCAGAAGAAGGAAUUAAUUAGAACUGUUUGCUCUUUGUUCCGUAUUUACACUUGUCCACCAGUCUUGUAAACAUUGCGCCUGGUUUCUUUGGCCCUCCAGGCUUCUCUCUUCUGACUCCCCCACCCCACCCCCAAAAUAAAUAAAUAGAAAGCGGGGAGUGUAAUGUAA